AUUGAACGCUGGCGGCAUGCCUUACACAUGCAAGUCGAACGGUAACGGGCCUUCGGGUGCCGACGAGUGGCGAACGGGUGAGUAAUGUAUCGGAACGUACCUUUCAGUGGGGGACAACGUAGCGAAAGUUACGCUAAUACCGCAUAUUCUGUGAGCAGGAAAGCAGGGGAUCGCAAGACCUUGCGCUGAUUGAGCGGCCGAUAUCAGAUUAGCUAGUUGGUGAGGUAAAGGCUCACCAAGGAGACGAUCUGUAGCGGGUCUGAGAGGAUGAUCCGCCACACUGGAACUGAGACACGGUCCAGACUCCUACGGGAGGCAGCAGUGGGGAAUUUUGGACAAUGGGGGCAACCCUGAUCCAGCCGUGCCGCGUGAGUGAAGAAGGCCUUCGGGUUGUAAAGCUCUUUCGGCCGGGAAGAAAUCGUAUGGGUUAAUACCCUGUGCGGAUGACGGUACCGGCAUAAGAAGCACCGGCUAACUACGUGCCAGCCGCCGCGGUAAAAC
rnacentral:rRNA from 1 species